GUCAAGACUGUCCUCAGCUAGGUCAAGUCAAGGCUGUCCUCAGCUAGGUCAAGUCAAGGCUGUCCUCAGCUAGGUCAAGUCAAGGCUGUCCUCAGCUAGGUUAAGUCAAGGCUGUCCUCAGCUAGGUCAAGUCAAGGCUGUCCUCAGCUAGGUCAAGUCAAGGCUGUCCUCAGCUAGGUCAAGUCAAGGCUGCCCUCAGCUAGGUCAAGUCAAGGCUGUCCUCAGCUAGGUUAAGUCAAGGCUGCCCUCAGCUAGGUUAAGGCCAGUCCCUGGGGAGGAGGGAUUAAAAAUAGAGGAAAACCUAAAAUAGGAGUUCAUACCAUACCAUUAGCUUGCUAGUCCUUAGCUAUUUUCAGCCUUGA